rnacentral:misc_RNA from 1 species
UCCACAAAACUCAAAUUCAAAGUCUGUAAGUUGAAACCUGAACCCUGUAUGAGCUCAACCAAACUAGAAGCCACUCCUGUAGCUUGUACAGUUGUUUGUUUUGUUAACUCAACACUUGCAAUACCCUCUAGGACUUGAACUUUCAAAUUUGUAAUAUCAUCAAUCUCCUCCAAGGCAUUAGUCACUGUAGGAAUAGCAGUUUCA